UUUGAUCAGCGGCAGAAACAUGGUAUCAAACCAUUUCCAUUAAUAUUCACAAAUAAAAAGAGCCACAAAAUUAGUUGUAAUGCAGUCACUGAUGAUAUCAAACACACGGCUGCUGCACCUCCUCCACUUGAUCAUGAUCUCAAAGAAGAGGAACAAGAUCACAGGGUUCUAGUGAGUCCUUCCGGUGAAGAAGAGCACAGAAGUGAAAGGGUCGUGGCUGAGUAUGAUUGGACAGAAGAAUAGUACCCUCUGUAUCUAACCCAGGACCUGCCAGAAGAUGCACCUUUAGGCCUUACUGUGUUUGAUGAGCAGCUCGUUUUGUAUCGUGAUGGCUCUGGUCUGCUUCGCUGUUACGAGGAUCGUUGCUCUCACAGGCUUGCAAAAAUAUCAGAAGGCCAGUUGAUUGAUGGAAGACUGGAGUGUUUAUAUCAUGGUUGGCAAUUCCAAGGCCAAGGAAAAUGUGUAAAGAUUCCACAGCUCCCAUCUGAUGCUAAACUUCCUAAAGCAGCUUGUGUUAAAGCAUAUGAGGUGAGGGACUUCAAGGUGUUGUUUGGGUUUGGAUGUCUCACAAAAAACCACCCAAACCCAACAAGCUACCUUGGUUUGAAAACUUUGACAGGCCAGGCUUUGAUUAUUCUUCAACAAUCCAUGAUCUCCCUUAUGAACACUCUAUUCUUCUGGAGAAUCUCAUGGAUCCUGCCCACAUUCCAAUCUCACAUGACAGGACGGGUUUUACCGCGAAAAUAGAAAAUGCACAGCCGCUGAGAUUCGAGGUGACUGAGAGGACUGAUAGAGGUUUUGCAGGCUAUUGGGGUAAGGCAAAAGACCAAUCCUUGCCUUACUUCUUAAAGUUUGAAGCACCUGGUGUUAUUGAAAACACAAGGGAACUUGUAGACAAGAAUGGUGAGAAGCACUACUCUGUUGGUCUCUUCCUCUGUAGACCAACAGGACAGGGAAAAUCCAUGGCCAUUAUGAGGUUUGGAGCCACCAAGCAAUCCCCUUUGGCUAAAUUGUUCCCAGAUUGGUACUUCCAUCACAUUUCAUGUACAGUUUUUGAGCAAGAUAUGGGAUUUCUCUCAUCUCAAAAUGAGAUACUUUUGAAGGAAAAAUCUCCCACAAAAAAUCUGUACCUUAAUUUGAAAUCAUCUGAUGUAUGGGUAGCUGAGUAUUGGAAAUGGGUGGACAGAGUAGGGCAUGGCAUGCCUUAUCAUGUUGGGCACAGGACUAUAUCAUUGCCCAGUGAGCCAGCCAUGGUAGAACAUGCACCAGCAGGACUUGUUGCUAGUGUUUCAGCAUCUCAACCAGCUAAGGGAGGCAUUGGAAGCCUGCAUGUUCCGAAUCGGACCAACCGGUAUUUCAGGCAUGUGAUUCAUUGCAAAGGGUGCAGAGAUGUUGUGAAGAGUUUUGAAGCCUGGAAAAUUGGUCUUUCUGGUAUUGCUCUUGGGCUGAUCUCAGUGGCUAUUUUAGUGUCUGGGAGGCAGUGGAAAGCCAUUUUGCUGGUGUCAGUGGCUGUGUUCUCAGCUGGAGCUUAUGCAUGCUCAGCUGCCGUUGCAUUGAAUACGACAAACUUCAUAAGAACACUCAGGAGAUUGUGAUUUUUGAGUCAUAAUCCAUCAUCAUGUGGAAAUAUUUCCAAGCCAACUUAGCCAAGUAAACAUGAUUGUGUAUGUAUUGGUAUCUCCUCUAAUUUUCAAACUC